rnacentral:lncRNA from 1 species
CCCUCCAAAAUCCCCUGUGCCGACCAUAGCAAGACUGACUUUGAUUCCACUUUGCUUUUAGCCUAUGGCCAAAAAGAAAUUCUCCACAAUGAUAUCCCAAGGAAUGGAAUCCUGCUCCCAUCAUAAAUUUGAGCAAAAAAAAUGCUAGCAUUCCUAGUGCCUCCUGUUCUAAUUUCCAGUACAUUUCCAAUAGGCUCUUUAUAUUGGACUAGUGGAGCAAUCGCUAUAGUGAG